GUUUUCGUUGCUUGUUAUAUUUUAGUGAUAAUAAUGUACGAUUUGAAAUUGGUAUUGAAUUUUUUGUUUUGUAGUUUAAAGAAAUUGUAGUUUUGGUUGGAUUUGUUUUUCCGCCCGUUACAGUUGAUCAUAAAUCUAAUGUUCGCUGACUUUUGGUAUCAUGAUUUGUGGUCAACCGAUAUUGUAGAGAUGAAAAAUACCUGAAACUGACGCAUUAAUGUUGGCAUGCAUUUUUCCCUCCCGCGGUACUAGUUCGUUUUCUUAGUUUUGAAAUUAGAAUGUGUA
rnacentral:misc_RNA from 1 species